ACAGGAGAUGGGGGAGCCCCCUGCUCCGCCCUGCCGCGUGAGCGAUGAAGGCCUUCGGGCCGUAAAACUCUUUCGACGGGGACGAUAAUGACGGUACCCGUAGAAGAAGCUCCGGCUAACUUCGUGCCAGCAGCCGCGGUAAUACGAAGGGGGCUAGCGUUGUUCGGAAUUACUGGGCGUAAAGCGCGCGCAGGCGGUCUUCCAAGUCAGUGGUGAAAGCCCGGAGCUCAACUCCGGAACUGCCAUUGAAACUGUGAGACUUGAGUACGAGAGAGGUGAGUGGAAUUCCCAGUGUAGAGGUGAAAUUCGUAGAUAUUGGGAAGAACACCGGUGGCGAAGGCGGCUCGCUGGCUCGUAACUGACGCUCAGGCGCGACA
rnacentral:rRNA from 1 species